rnacentral:lncRNA from 1 species
AUCGGGUGGGGAAAAAGGCUUAGCCCCAAACCUGGAGGAAAUCUCAGAUGUAGAGGUCACAUGGAGGAGAAUAUAGGAAAGGAAAUUGAAGUAGAGUGCUCAGAUGCAGGAGAAAAAUCAGGGCAUAUAACCAAGCCAAGGGGAGGGAGUGCCUCAAGAAGGAGGGAGAGGAGAGGUCAGGACAGCCAAAAUCCUGUGAGGGCCAAGAAAGACAAGACCUGGAAAAUGUCAUUAAAUUCAGGCUUACGGAGGCUACAGGUGACCUUAGUGAGACCCAGUGAACAGAGGGAUGGCAGCUGGAGAGGAUCCAUGCUAAUAUGAAGGAACUAUCUGCAAAAGCCUAAAUGGAAACCUGAUAAAACCAGAGGAGGCCAAAGUCUAUGAAGAUGAGAAGCGGAUUAUCUGUUUCUGAGAGGAUGCUUUCCUGUGCAUGGGGUUUUUGCCCUGGAGCCUCAGCAGCAAAUGCCACUCUGGGCAGUCUUUUGUGUCAGUGUCUUAAAGGGGCCUGCGCAGGCGGGACUAUCAGGAGUCCACUGCCUCCAUGAUGCAAGCCAGCUUCCUGUGCAGAAGGUCUGGUCGGCAAACUCCCUAAGUACCCGCUACAAUUCUGCAGAAAAAGAAUGUGUCUUGUGAGCUGUUGUAGUUACAGUAAAUACACUGUGAAGAGACUUUAUUGCCUAUUAUAAUUAUUUUUAUCUGAAGCUAAAGGAAUAAAGCUGUGAGCAAACAGAGGAGGCCAGCCUCAGCUCAUUCCAACACCUGCCAUAGGGACCAACGGGAGCGAGUUGGUCACCGCUGUUUUCAUUGAAGAGUUGAGGAUGUGGCACAAAGUUGGUGCCAAGCUUCUUGAAUAAAACGUGUUUGAUGGAUUAGUAUUAUACCUGAAAUAUUUUCUUCUUUCUCAGCACUUUCCCAUGUAUUGAUACUGGUCCCACUUCACAGCUGGAGACACUGGAGUAUGUGCAAUGUGGGAUUUGACUCCUCCAAGGUUUUGUGGAAAGUUAAUGUCAAGGAAAGGAUGCACCACGGGCUUUUAAUUUUAAUCCUGGAGUCUCACUGUCGGCUGGCAAAGAUAGAGAAUGCCCUCAGCUCUUAGCUGGUCUAAGAAUGACGAUGCCUUCAAAAUGCUGCUUCCACUCAGGGCUUCUCCUCUGCUAGGCUACCCUCCUCUAGAAGGCUGAGUACCAUGGGCUACAGUGUCUGGCCUCGGGAAGAAGUGAUUCUGUCCCUCCAAAGAAAUAGGGCAUGGCUUGCCUUUGUGGCCCUGGCAUCCAAAUGGCUGCUUUUGUCUCCCUUACCUCGUGAAGAGGGGAAGUCUCUUCCUGCCUCCCAAGCAGCUGAAGGGUGACUAAACUGGCGCCAAGACUCAGGGGAUCGGCUGGGAACUGGGCCAGCAGAGCAUGUUGGACACCCCCCACCAUGGUGGGCUUGUGGUGGCUGCUCCAUGAGGGUGGGGGUGAUAUUACUAGAUCACUUGUCCUCUUGCCAGCUCAUUUGUUAAUAAAAUACUGAAAACACUCUUAUGGGUUGAGUCUGG